UUGACCUCAAAUCAGGUAGGACUACCCGCUGAACUUAAGCAUAUCAAUAAGCGGAGGAAAAGAAACUAACAAGGAUUCCCUUAGUAACUGCGAGUGAAGAGGGAAAAGCUCAAAUUUAAAAUCUGGCAGUGUUUCGCUGUCCGAG
rnacentral:rRNA from 1 species